GGGGAUUUAGCUCAGUGGUAGAGCGCUUGCCUAGUAAGCGUGAGGCCCUGGGUUCGGUCCCCAGCUCCG
rnacentral:tRNA from 1 species